rnacentral:rRNA from 1 species
GAUGAACGCUGGCGGCGUGCCUAAUACAUGCAAGUCGAGCGAACAGACGAGGAGCUUGCUCCUCUGACGUUAGCGGCGGACGGGUGAGUAACACGUGGAUAACCUACCUAUAAGACUGGGAUAACUUCGGGAAACCGGAGCUAAUACCGGAUAAUAUAUUGAACCGCAUGGUUCAAUAGUGAAAGACGGUUUUGCUGUCACUUAUAGAUGGAUCCGCGCCGCAUUAGCUAGUUGGUAAGGUAACGGCUUACCAAGGCGACGAUGCGUAGCCGACCUGAGAGGUUGACGGGCCACAGUGGACCGGGAACACGCACCAGACUCCAACGGGAGGAGGAGGUAGGGAAUCUUCCGCAAGGGGGGAAGGCCGGCCGGAGCACCGCGGGGGGAGGAAGAAGGGUCUUGGGAUCGUAAACCUUUUUUAUUGGGAAAAAAAAAAUGUGUAAGUAACUAUGCACGUCUUGACGGUACCUAAUAAGAAAGCCACGGCUAACUACGUC